rnacentral:rRNA from 1 species
AACGCGAAGAACCUUACCAGCUUUUGACAUGUCCCGGACGGAAGCCAGAGACGGCUUCCUCUCUUCGGAGUCGGGAACACAGGUGCUGCAUGGCUGUCGUCAGCUCGUGUCGUGAGAUGUUGGGUUAAGUCCCGCAACGAGCGCAACCCUCGCCCUUAGUUGCCAUCAUUCAGUUGGGCACUCUAGGGGGACUGCCGGUGAUAAGCCGGAGGAAGGUGGGGAUGACGUCAAGUCCUCAUGGCCCUUACAGGCUGGGCUACACACGUGCUACAAUGGCGGUGACAACGGGAUGCGAAGGGGCGACCCUUAGCAAAUCUCGAAAAGCCGUCUCAGUUCGGAUUGCACUCUGCAACUCGAGUGCAUGAAGUUGGAAUCGCUAGUAAUCGCGGAUCAGCACGCCGCGGUGAAUACGUUCCCGGGCCUUGUACACACCGCAUAC